UACUACAAAUCCCAGGAUGCACUGCAGCUUUGCUUAACUUCAGAUCAAAGCAUUGCAUGCUGGGACCUGUAGUUGAUUUAAACAGCA
rnacentral:miRNA from 1 species